rnacentral:rRNA from 1 species
UGAAACUGAUCUCCCCGUGAAGAAGCGGGGAUACAAAUAUAAGACGAGAAGACCCCAUGGAGCUUUAAACCCAACAGCACCCGUUUAUUUUCAUCCUCACAUAAGUUAGGUUAUGCCUGUUUGGUUUUAGGUUGGGGUGACCACGGAGUAUAAAACAACCUCCAUGAAAAAAGGACCAAAAAUCCUUAUUAGAGAAAGACAUUUCUAAAAUUAAUAAAUUAAUUUUUAAUGAUCCGAUAUUCGAUCAACGAACCAAGUUACCCUGGGGAUAACAGCGCAAUCCACUUCAAGAGCUCCUAUCGACAAGUGGGUUUACGACCUCGAUGUUGGAUCAGGGUAUCCUAGUGGUGCAGCAGCUACUAACGGUUCGUUUGUUCAACGAUUAAAACCCU